AUUGAACGCUGGCGGCAUGCCUAACACAUGCAAGUCGAGCGGCAGCGGGAAAGUAGCUUGCUACUUUUGCCGGCGAGCGGCGGACGGGUGAGUAAUGCCUGGGGAUCUGCCCAGUCGAGGGGGAUAACUACUGGAAACAGUAGCUAAUACCGCAUACGCCCUACGGGGGAAAGCAGGGGACCUUCGGGCCUUGCGCGAUUGGAUGAACCCAGGGGGGAUUAGCUAGUUGGUGAGGUAAUGGCUCACCAAGGCGACGAUCCCUAGCUGGUCUGAGAGGAUGAUCAGCCACACUGGAACUGCGACACGGUCCAGACUCCUACGGGAGGCAGCAGUGGGGAAUAUUGCACAUUGGGCGAAACCCUGAUGCAGCCAUGCCGCGUGUGUGAAGAAGGCCUUCGGGUUGUAAAGCACUUUCGGCGAGGAGGAAAGGUUGGUAGCUAAUAACUGCCAGCUGUGCCGUUACUCGCAGAAGAAGCACCGGCUAACUCCGUGCCAGCAGCCGCCGUAACAC
rnacentral:rRNA from 1 species